rnacentral:misc_RNA from 1 species
GAUGAAGAACGCAGCGAAAUGCGAUAAGUAAUGUGAAUUGCAGAAUUCAGUGAAUCAUCGAAUCUUUGAACGCACAUUGCGCCCGCCAGUAUUCUGGCAGGCAUGCCUGUUCGAGCGUCAUUUCAACCAUCAAGCCCCAGGCUUGUGUUGGGGACCUGCGGCUGCCGCAGGCCCUGAAAACCAGUGGCGGGCUCGCUGUCACACCGGGCGUAGUAGAUUUUAUCUCGCUCAGGGCGUGCUGCGGGUUCCGGCCGUUAAAAAGCCUUUUUUACCCAAGGUUGACCUCGGAUCAGGUAGGAAGACCCGCUGAACUUAAGCAUAUCAAUAAGCGGAGGA